AGUGUGAUAGCUAGAUCAUAUGGUAAGAAUAUAUUUAGUUUUGUAAGAAACUGCCAAACUGCUUUCCAAAGUGGCUGUACCAUUUUGUACUCCUACCAGCAAU
rnacentral:pre_miRNA from 1 species